rnacentral:lncRNA from 1 species
AUGUCUUUUGCACCAGGCUGUGUGAAGCUAGCAUCCAAGCCCAGUGUUAGUGCCCUAGCGGUAGCACAUAAACAACAUACAGUACAUUUACAUGAUACUGUACCUUUAGCAUCCAAGCCUGGUGUUAGUGCCCUAGCGGUAGCGCUUAAACAACAUACAGUACAUUUACAUGAUACUGUACCUUUAGCAUCCAAGCCUGGUGUUAGUGCCCUAGCGGUAGCACAUAAACAACAUACAGUACAUUUACAUGAUACUGUACCUUUAGCAUCCAAGCCUAGUGUUAGUGCCCUAGCGGUAGCACAUAAACAACAUACAGUACAUUUACAUGAUACUGUACCUUUAGCAUCCAAGCCUAGUGUUAGUGCCCUAGCGGUAGCACAUAAACAACAUACAGUACAUUUACAUGAUACUGUAUCUUUAGCAUCCAAGCCUGGUGUUAGUGCCCUAGCGGUAGCGCUUAAACAACAUAUAGUACAUUUACAUGAUACUGUAUCUUUAGCAUCCAAGCCUGGUGUUAGUACCCUAGCGGUAGCACAUAAACAACAUACAGUAAAUUUACAUGAUACUGUCCCUUUAGCAUCCAAGCCUAGUGUUAGUGCCCUAGCGGUAGCACAUAAACAACAUACAGUACAUUUACAUGAUACUGUAUCUUUAGCAUCCAAGCCUAGUGUUAGUGCCCUAGCGGUAGCACAUAAACAACAUACAGUACAUUUACAUGAUACUGUACCUUUAGCAUCCAAGCCUGGUGUUAGUGCCCUAGCGGUAGCACAUAAACAACAUACAGUACAUUUACAUGAUACUGUAUCUUUAGCAUCCAAGCCUGGUGUUAGUGCCCUAGCGGUAGCGCAUAAACAACAUACAGUACAUUUACAUGAUACUGUACCUUUAGCAUCCAAGCCUGGUGUUAGUGCCCUAGCGGUAGCACAUAAACAACAUACAGUACAUUUACAUGAUACUGUAUCUUUAGCAUCCAAGCCCAGUGUUAGUGCCCUAGCGGUAGCGCAUAAACAACAUACAGUACAUUUACAUGAUACUGUACCUUUAGCAUCCAAGCCUAGUGUUAGUGCCCUAGCGGUAGCACAUUUUUUUUUUUUUUUUUUUUUUUUUUUUUUUUUUUUUUUUACCUUUAUUUUACUAGGCAAGUCAGUUAAGAACACAUUCUUAUUUUCAAUGACGGCCUAG